AUGAUUUAACUUUUUUUAACAAUGGAAAUAAAUAUUUUUCUAAAUAAUUAUUUAAUUUUAGUUAUGAACAGUUAUAAUAUAAUUUUGAUUAUAGAAAGUCAUUGUUUUCUAUUUGGAAAACAUAACUUUCGUUAUAAAGGAAACAGGAGAAAGCAAAUUAAAACUAUUUUCCAAAACUUAGCUAAAUUUUUAAGACUUGGAAAACUAGUUUUCCAGUUCUCCAUUUGGAAAAAUGGGCGCAUUUCAAUAGGAAACUCUGUUUUUCGGUUUUCUUAGAAAACUUUUUAAAAAAACUACUCCAGUUUUCUACAAGCGAGGGUCCUAAGAUUUCUGAAAUAUGGAUGUACUUUCAGUAGAAUAGUUCUUCUGCAUGUUCCUACCUUGUUACUUAUUCUUCUGCCUUCAUCAAUUAUCAUUAUGUGAAGUUGUAUUGUGUGCUUUAAAUUAAGGAACUGUGUACUUUGCAUAGGAUAUAGUGUCUCAUGCUAUUGCUAACUAUUUGAAGCAUUUUGCCUUGUAACUAUAAAAUAUCUUCAGCUUGUAGAAUGUAAAAUUAGUUAGUAAAUUGAUGGUUUGCUUCUCCAUUUGUAAUCAGUGCUAUAAUUAUAUGUGCUAGAAGGGAAUAAUUUAUAUGCAUUUGUGGUGCAACAUUUUAUAUUCUUUUUUAAUCAUGUCAUAGGUUCUUUUGGUGUAUCACAAAAAUAAUCAUUUAACCAUGAAUUUAUUUGCUCCGUGAUUUUAUGAUUUAAAAGUUUAUUAACUUCUAUUUCACUUGAUUUCAAGUUUUUGAAUGAUGUUGAUUUUAUAGCUGGAUGCCUAGAUAUGGAAAAAAAGAAAGUGGUAGACCAAUUAACAUCAUAAAUUUGAUCCACAAAACUUUCAAUGUAAUUCAUAUUUUUGACACCUGGAGUUAAUGGUGAAAUGUUGUCAAUAAAUUGAUUAGCUUGUUUUUCCUGCAACCUAAAUCUGUUCGCAAAAAACACAGUUCAAACUUGGUAAAUUUUUCUAUUUAACAUUCUACAAUAAAUUGGUGCUAACUGAUGAUAUAUGUAAGAUUAAAUUCUUUUACAUUUAAUUAAAUAGUGUUUUAACUUAGUGGCUUACGUUUUUGCAUUAAAUUAUAUAUAAGAUUUUACAAAAGGUUUGCAUCGUUGCAUUGUGGUUGAUGGUUUAAAAAUGAAUAUAUGUGGCCUGCUAAGAGAGGUAAUUUUUACAUCUAAAAUUGAGUUCUUUUGGCACUGUGAUGGGAACAUUUUCUGAUAGGGGGAAUUGACAAGCUUGUGCAACAGUUUAAAUAUAAUAAUAAUAAAAAAAAAACUCUGUUAAAAAACUCUCUAU
rnacentral:misc_RNA from 1 species